rnacentral:tRNA from 1 species
GGUUGUGGCUCAGUGGUGGAGCACUCCUCUUGCACAUGUGAGGCCCUGGGUUCGAUCCUCAGCACCA